GACGAACGCUGGCGGCGUGCUUAACACAUGCAAGUCGAACGGGAGUAUUGAAGAAGCUUGCUUUAGAGAUACUUUAGUGGCGGACGGGUGAGUAACGCGUGAGGAGCUGUCCUAUGCAGGGGGACAACAGCUGGAAACGGCUGCUAAUACCCCAUAAGCCGAGAGGUAAAAGGAUCAAUCCGGCAGAGGAGGUACUCGCGUCCUAUCAGCUAGUAGGUGAGGUAACGGCUCACCUAGGCGAAGACGGGUAGCCGGCCUGAGAGGGCGAACGGCCACACUGGAACUGAGAUACGGUCCAGACUCCUACGGGAGGCAGCAGUGGGGAAUAUUGGGCAAUGGUGGAAACCCUGACCCAGCGACGCCGCGUGGGUGAAGAAAUCCUUCGGGAUGUAAAGCCCUGUUGUAUGGGAAGAGCGGAAGACGGUACCAUACGAGGAAGCCCCGGAAACUACGUG
rnacentral:rRNA from 1 species